GACGAACGCUGGCGGCAUGCCUAAUACAUACAAGUCGAGCGAACAGAUGAAGUGCUUGCACUUCUGACGUUAGCGGCGAACGGGUGAGUAACACGUAAGGAAUCUACCUAUAAGCGGGGGAUAACAUUCGGAAACGGGUGCUAAUACCGCAUAAUAUCUUCUUCCGCAUGGAAGAAGAUUGAAAGACGGCUCUGCUGUCACUUAUAGAUGACCUUGCGGUGCAUUAGUUAGUUGGUGGGGUAACGGCCUACCAAGACGAUGAUGCAUAGCCGACCUGAGAGGGGUAUCGGCCACAUUGGGACUGAGACACGGCCCAAACUCCUACGGGAGGCAGCAGUAGGGAAUCUUCCGCAAUGGGCGAAAGCCUGACGGAGCAAUGCCGCGUGAGUGAAGAAGGCCUUCGGGUCGUAAAACUCUGUUAUAAGAGAAGAACAAAUUGUAGAGUAACUGCUACAGUCUUGACGGUAUCUUAUCAGAAAGCCACGGCUAACUACGUGCCAGCCGCCGCGGUAA
rnacentral:rRNA from 1 species